GCCAGGCAUGGUAGCGCAUGCCUGUAAUUCCAGCUACUUGGAAGGCUGAGGUGGAAGGAUCAAUGGAGCCCAGCAGGUCAAGGCUGCGGUGGCUGGGAGCGGCCACUGCACUCCAGGCUGGGCGACAGAGUGAGACUCCAACUCAA
rfam:Tarsius syrichta, whole genome shotgun sequence